ensembl:lncRNA
CCAAACCCAGGAAACUGAUUUCCAUGUUAUUUUUCCUCGUCACCCCUCCCCUUCCUUCCUCACUCACAGCUGAGGGCUUUGUUACCUACUUUACCCAGAAGGUGAAGGACUUCAUCUCCUCUUUUACCCCUGCCACCAUCCUCCCUCCCCAUAUCCCUACAUGUUUUACCCACCUUGUCCCUCUCACCUCCGAAGAUGUCAACAGAGUAGUUUUGUCUGACCACGCCACCGCUGGACCCGAUCCCCUCCUCACUCCUCCAGGCUCCUGUGGCUGCUGAUGGUCAACAGAUGUGGUUAAUCAGUAAUCAAUGGAACUGGAGUGAACAAUCCUUUAAAAGAACCACCGUUACUUCUGAGAGGUAUUUAGUUUACAGGGCCUGGCAAUUGGUUUGUAGAGCAAAACCCAGCAACACCUGAAAAAAAACGACAUGCAUGUUCCUUGUUCAAUCUCUUUGAGGUUUUGGCUCAAACAAUCCUUCACCAGCAUGGAGUGACUUCAGCAGUCCUCGCUCUACUUAUCCUGUUGGUCAAGCCGGCUCGGUGUAUACUUAUGGCAGCACAACGCAAGAGUACAUUGGAAGAGCGGCUUCCACUUGGUCCCAGCAGAACAGUGACUCAAAGGCUGAUGACGGGGUCUACUCAAAUGAUGGCUCCAAUAUGGAUGCUGGCGACUCUGGCUGGGCCAAGAGCGGUGCGAUGGACUCUGGUAGUGAUGCUCAGUACCCUGUUCCUGAAGGCUACCCUGAGGAGCUUGUCGCCCCCAUGGACCAGGAGCUGGAGGAACCUGAGGAAGAGCCCGUGUUGAGCGACGUCUCUGACCUGGAGCCGGUCUACCACUUCAGUUCCGGGUCACGCUACCAGCAAGGCAGACAGGCCUUCUUCCUAACCAGAUACAACCCCGGAGAGCCUAUGGUCGCCUCUGCUGACGCGUUGGUCUCUAACAGUUAUGGAAUGGGAAAUGGUGAGGGAGGGCCAGCUGAUCCAAGACAGCCUGGGAAGGGUGACUACUGAUCAACUGCAAUGUCUUUCAUUUCUAAUGGCUGUAUAUGAAUAAAUCUUUGCUUUCGGAAUUAGUUUCCUUUGCUUUAAUACAGGUUGCCAAGUUUAGCAUUGCUAAGAUGUGCAUGAAGCACUGUGCUUUGGUGUCCAUUGAACAAACAUUAUCCUGGAUCCAACUCCUUGGGUAUUGCAAGUACCCAAGGAGAACCAACUUGACCUUAUAUUCACGAGGUCCUGCGGUAACUCUGCUCUCUCUGUAACCCCGUUCCCUGUGUCUGACCAUAAUUUUAACUGCUCUCUCCUCUAAAUCCUCUUCCUCCUUGGCUGUACAAAUCUCUGCAGGCUUAAACGCAACAAUAACAAUAGGUAUCCAUAAUCCAAUUACAUCCUGUGAACCUAAUUAAGAGGCAAGUUUGGAUGCUUGAACCCACACAGAACUAGAGACUCUUUGUUUAAAUGGAUUACCGCUAGGUGGCAGUAUAGAUCAAAUAAUUCCGGCCGCUGGUGCUCACUAUUGUUGUUGACGGAUUUCCCCUGUAAAGUGAGGAAACGAGUGCUCUGGG